GAUGAACGCUGGCGGCGUGCCUAAUACAUGCAAGUCGAGCGGACGGACGAGACGCUUGCUUCUCUCAUGUUAGCGGCGGGCGGGUGAGUAACGCGUGGAUACCCUCCCUGUCUGUCUGGUAUCACUUCGGGACACCGGCGCUAAUAGCGGAGAAUCUUUUGAACCGCAUGGUUCGAAAGAGAGAUACGGUCGUUGGGUCAGUUCUAGCUGGAUCUGCGCUGGAUUAGCUAGUUGGUAGGGUAAUGGCCUACGACGGGGAGGAUGCAUAGCCGACGUGAGGGGGUGAUCGGCCACACGAGAACUGAGACACCGUCCAGACUCCUAAGGGAGGCAGCAGUAGGGAAUCUGCCGCAAUGGGCGAAAGCCUGACGGAGCAACGCGGCGCGAGUGACGAAGGCCCCCGGAUCGUAAAACUCUGUUAUGAGGGGAGAACAUAUGUGUAAGUAACUGUGCAGAUCUUGACGGUACCUAAUAAGAAAGCCACGGCUAACUACGUG
rnacentral:rRNA from 1 species